CCUACGGGUGGCAGCAGUGAGGAAUAUUGGUCAAUGGGCGGAAGCCUGAACCAGCCAAGUAGCGUGCAGGAUGACGGCCCUACGGGUUGUAAACUGCUUUUAUACGGGAAUAACGCGCCUUACGUGUAGGGCUUUGCAUGUACCGUAUGAAUAAGGACCGGCUAAUUCCGUGCCAGCAGCCGCGGUAAUACGGAAGGUCCGGGCGUUAUCCGGAUUUAUUGGGUUUAAAGGGAGCGUAGGCCGCAUGUCAAGCGUGCUGUGAAAUGUCCGGGCUCAACCCGGGCCUUGCAGCGCGAACUGGCGUGCUUGAGUCCGCGGAAAGCAGGCGGAAUUCGUCGUGUAGCGGUGAAAUGCUUAGAUAUGACGAAGAACCCCGAUUGCGAAGGCGGGUUCCUGGACAUUAACUGACGCUGAGGCACGAAGGCCAGGGGAGCGAAAGGGAUUAGAUACCCCUGUAGUC
rnacentral:rRNA from 1 species